UACGAGGGAUGCAAGCGUUAUCCGGAAUUAUUGGGCGUAAAGCGUUUGUAGGUGGGCGAGUGUGUUUAAUGUUAAAUCUUAAAGCUCAACUUUGAAAUUGCGUUAAAAACUGCUUGUCUUGAGUAUGGUAGGGGUAAAGGGAAUUCCCAGUGUAGCGGUGAAAUGCGUAGAUAUUGGGAAGAACACUAAACAGCGAAGGCACUUUACUAGGCUAAUACUGACGCUGAGAAACGAAAGGUAAGGUAGCGAAACGGAUUAGAUACCCGUGUAGUCUUACCCGUAAACUAUGGACACUAAACGGUAAAUUUUUAAUUUACUGUUAAAGCUAACGCGUUAAGUGUCCCGCCUGGGGAGUAUGCUUGCAAAAGUGAAACUCAAAGGAAUUGACGGGGGCCCGCACAAGCGGUGGAGCAUGUGGUUUAAUUCGACGGUACACGAAGAACCUUACCAGGAUUUGACAUGCUAGAUAGUUGCUUGAAAGAGUAACGUGCCGUAAGGAAUCUAGACACAGGUGGUGCAUGGCUGUCGUCAGUUCGUGUUGUGAAAUGUUGGGUUAAGUCCCGCAACGAACGCAACCCUUGUCUUUAGUUAUUUUCUAAAGAGACUGCCUGUAAUAAACAGGAGGAAGGUAAGGAUGAGGUCAAGUCAUCAUGCCCCUUAUGUCCUGGGCUACACACGUGCUACAAUGGGAAAGACAAUGAGCUGCAAAUCUGUAAAUUUAAGCAAAUCUCUUAAACUUUCUCGUAGUUCGGAUUGUGGGCUGCAACUCGCCCACAUGAAGUUGGAAUCGCUAGUAAUCGCCAGUCAGCUAUAUGGCGGUGAAUCCGUCCCCGGGCCU
rnacentral:rRNA from 1 species